UUCUUCUCUUUAACUACCUUCAAAAACUAUAUAUGACAUUAUGAUGUAUGUUCUUCUCUUUAACUACCUUCAAAAACUAUAUAUGACGUAUAUGACCUCAAAGGUCAUAUUCUUGUAAUCAUAUUUAUUAGCAUGAACAUCGUUUUCAACAAACCGGUUCCGAAGCGGUAAAAGAAAUGGUAAAAAAAAAAAAAAACAAGAUACACCCAUUUAAUUAAAAAACAUUUUAAUAUUUGAAAACAAUUUUAAUAUUUGAUCUACUCAACCCGAAAAAGCAUUUGCGUAAUGCGAAUUCAAGAAUCUCCA
rnacentral:lncRNA from 1 species